rnacentral:tRNA from 1 species
AGAAAAACUUUAGUUAAAGCUGCUAACUUUAACAGGAGUACAUAAAAGUAUUCUUUUUCUU